rnacentral:rRNA from 1 species
UACGUAGGGUGCAAGCGUUAAUCGGAAUUACUGGGCGUAAAGCGUGCGCAGGCGGCGCGUUAAGACAGGUGUGAAAGCCCCGAGCUUAACUUGGGAAUUGCGCUUGUGACUGGCGUGCUGGAGUGUGGCAGAGGGAGGUGGAAUUCCACGUGUAGCAGUGAAAUGCGUAGAUAUCUGGAGGAACACCGGUGGCGAAGGCGGCAUCCUGGACCAACACUGACGCUGAGG